ACUCUUACCUGGCAGAGGAGAUACCAUGAUCAUGAAGGUGGUUUUCCCAGGGUGAGGCUCAACCAUUGCACUGCGGGCGUGCCGACCCCUGCAAUUUCCCCAAAUGCGGGAAGCUUGACUGCAUAAUUUGUGGUAGUGGGGGACUGCAUUCAUGCUGAGAAACACUCUCC